UUAAGUUUUGCUUAGAUUUUCAAAACAAACACUAAUUUAAAACUUCAUAUAAAUAAUAGGUUUAGCCACUAAAUCAAACAUCAUUGUUCAACAUUCCGUGUCAAUAAGAUGAAAUUCUACGCUACAUUUAUUUUGGUAUUAGCUUUAAUAGCUUGUGCCUUGGCUAAUCCCAAUCCCUUGCCAAAUCCUAAACCAUUAGGUGGCGGAGGAGGAGGUGGCGGCGGCGGAGGAGGAGGUGGUGGCGGUGGAGGAGGUGGUGGUGGAAAGUAAAUUGUUCACCUUUUAUAUAGAACAAAUAUUGAAAUAAAAGUAUUGUUUAAAAUAAUUCUUACGAUUUUACAUUC